AAAAAAUAAAAAUUUAUAAAAAAAUUAAAUAAGAAUACUAUGUAAAGAGAGGGUCUCCUUCUCUUUACUUUAGCUUUAAUAUGUAAUAAUUUUAAUUUAUAUUUUGUUAUUUUUGUUAUUAUUAUUAAUAUAUUAUUAUUUUAGUAUUAUAUAUUUUAAUAUAACAUUAUAUUAUAAUUUUUGUGGGAAAAAAAUGGGCCCAAACUUUUUUCUCUGAAACACUCCUUCCCUUGAACACUUCUCUUUUCCGUCACCCUUCCUCUUUUCUUUGCCAUAGAUCCACUCUUCAUUGUCGACUACUUGUGCUUCGAUGUGACCCUUUGCCCACCUUAGUUCAUGUUGGCAGCCUUAGAGACCUCUUAAAGAAGUUGCAGUGUGGG
rnacentral:misc_RNA from 1 species